CUGUGUCCCCACCCAAAUCUCAUCUUGAAUUCCCACAUGUUGUGGGAGGGACCCAGUGGGAGGUAACUGAACCAUGGGGGCAGGUCUUUCCCGUGCUAUUCUGAUAGUGACAUGAGAUCUGAUGGUUUUAUAAGAGGCAGUGUCCUUGCACAAGCUCUUUCUCUGUGCCUGCUGCCAUCAAUGUAAGACGUGACUUGCUCCUCCUUGCCUUCCACCAUGAUUGUGAGGCCUCCCCAGCCACGUGGAACUCCAUGUAAGAUGAGCCUGCUUCCCCUUUGCCUUCCACCAUGAUUUUAAGCUUCCUGAGACCUCCCCAGAAGCCAAGCAGAUGCCAGAAUCAUGCUUUCUGUACAGCCUGCGGAACUGGCCAGCUCAUUACUGGACUAUUUGAGAGAAAGCUGCUGGAGGCAUCCAGUAGAGAAAUUGGCUUGUCUCUCCUCAUGAUCUUACAUCUAAGUGCUUAGAGGAAACUUCACUACUGUCCCCAAAGAACUGACUGUUUCUGAUCCAUCCUGGAGACAUGAAAGCACCCAGAACUGUCACUAAAAUCUGAAAGUAUCUGGAAUGGAGUGAAAGUUCACAUCAUCAAGAUUAUAUCAUUUCUUAGAAGACAGCCAUCAUCUAUACAUCAACAAAUGGAGCCUAAGGCAGCACUUUCUUCAGUAAUUUUCUCUGAUUCCAAGCCCCAACUCAGGGAAUAUUACAAAAUCUGUGAUCACUUGCCAUGUCCCACAUAUUAUCCACUAUUAACAUAAAUCAAGGCUUCGUGUUUGUAAUUUAUGUUUCAGCACUUAGAGAAUACCUUGCUAGUUAUUUUAAAUAGAUAAAUCAAAUCAAAAUUUUGUUAAUAAAAUAUUAGA